AGUAGAUCUUUCUAAUUCUUUCUCAAAGUCCUUUAUUUCAGGAUAUUUGCAAAGCAAACAGCCUUAGAAGAGAGAGAUCAUGUCUGCCAGCAGAGCAAAGGGGUCAUGUCUUCUCCCAGCUCCCAUGAAACUGUGACAGUUGCAAGGAAGGUGAAAUCUCAGAACUUUUACAGUUCUUGCCAAUAAACUUAAAUUUAUAUACUGUG